UACGGAGGGUGCGAGCGUUGUCCGGAAUUAUUGGGCGUAAAGAGCUCGUAGGCGGUCUGUCACGUCGGGAGUGAAAACACGGGGCUUAACCCCGUGCCUGCUUCCGAUACGGGCAGACUAGAGGUAUGCAGGGGAGAACGGAAUUCCUGGUGUAGCGGUGAAAUGCGCAGAUAUCAGGAGGAACACCGGUGGCGAAGGCGGUUCUCUGGGCAUUACCUGACGCUGAGGAGCGAAAGUGUGGGGAGCGAACAGG
rnacentral:rRNA from 1 species